AGGGAGAGAGAGAGGAGAGAGAGAGAGAGAGAACACAAUUACCAAUGCCAGGAGUAAGACAGAAAGAUGUCAACAGUGAGCCUACACUUACUAAAAAGAUAAUGAACAAAGAUUAUGAACAACUUUAAUGAAUAAAUUCAACAACUUGGGGAAAUAGAAAAUUUGAUCUGAAAGACACAAAGUACCAAGCUCACUCAAGAAGAAAUAGGUAUCUUGGAAAGCCUUCUGUCUACCAAAGAAAUCCAAAUUGUAGUUAAUAACCUUUCCACAAAGAAAACUUCGGGUCUCGAUACUUCAGGUAUGAAUUGCAUCAAACAUUCAAUAAAUAAAUAAUACAAAUUCUUUCAGAAAAUUUAAAAGAAAGAAAUACUUGCCAACUCAUUCUAUGAUGCCACCAUUUCUCAGAUGACUAAAUCAAAGAUACCACAAGAUAAGAAAAUCACAGACAAAUAUCCAUAAUGAACAUAGAUGAAAAAAUUCUAAACAAAAUUUUAACAGUGAAUUCAACAGCAUAUAAGAAGUACAGUGCAUCAUGAUCCAGUGGAGCUUAAUCAAGGUUAAUUUAGAAUUUGAAAGUCAACCAAUGUAACUUGUGAUAAAUAAAUUAAAAAGAAAGAAAAUCCAGCCAGGCACAGUGGCU